GAAACAAAAUAUUUUGUAUGGAUACUCCCUCUUCUCUUCUCACCUUCUUCUCUUUUUCUCUUUUUCACACUAAACAGUUGCAUCACCUUUUCAAAUCUGUUCCCGGGUAGAGAAGAAGGAGGAUGAGGAGCGAACUCAUCAGUCUUAUAGGGAUGCAAAAAUGUUCGAAUGCGAGCUUGAAAUCAGGUGCUGCAAAAGAAACUCCAAUUUUUACCCCUCUCAUGGAGUUUGUUCACCAGAAACGAGCAGUUGAAAGUGGAACACAAUUGAGAUUGUUGUAUUCUGAAUAGAAUGGACAUGUUUGUGCACUAUAUUUUAGAAACUACUUGUUCACUAAAAUGAAGGUUGGAACCAGUUAGUUUCCUCUAUCUUUUCUACUUCAUAAGAUAUUGGUUCUGUCCAUAUAGAGAUCAAUAUUAAUACAUUCAUUGAGGCGACAUUCCUUUGUUUGAA